GAUGAAGAACGUAGCGAAAUGCGAUAAGUAAUGUGAAUUGCAGAAUUCAGUGAAUCAUCGAGUCUUUGAACGCACAUUGCGCCCUCUGGUAUUCCGGAGGGCAUGCCUGUCCGAGCGUCAUUGCUGCCCUCCAGCCCGGCUGGUGUGUUGGGCCCCGUCCCCCUUCCCGGGGGGACGGGCCCGAAAGGCAGCGGCGGCACCGCGUCCGGUCCUCGAGCGUAUGGGGCUUUGUCACCCGCUCUUGUAGGCCCGGCCGGCGCCAGCCGACCCCCUCAAUCUAUUUUUCAGGUUGACCUCGGAUCAGGUAGGGAUACCCGCUGAACUUAAGCAUAUCAAUAAGCGGAGGA
rnacentral:misc_RNA from 1 species